GAUGAACGCUGGCGGCGUGCUUAACACAUGCAAGUCGAACGGAAAGGCCGAAGCUUGCUUCGGUACUCGAGUGGCGAACGGGUGAGUAACACGUGGGUGAUCUGCCCUGUACUUCGGGAUAAGCUUGGGAAACUGGGUCUAAUACCGGAUGUGACGAUCUCUUGGAUGGGGUUGUGGAAAGCUUUUGCGGUAUGGGAUGAGCUCGCGGCCUAUCAGCUUGUUGGUGGGGUAAUGGCCUACCAAGGCGUCGACGGGUAGCCGGCCUGAGAGGGUGUACGGCCACAUUGGGACUGAGAUACGGCCCAGACUCCUACGGGAGGCAGCAGUGGGGAAUAUUGCACAAUGGGCGCAGGCCUGAUGCAGCGACGCCGCGUGGGGGAUGACGGCCUUCGGGUUGUAAACUCCUUUCGCAAUCGACGAAGCCUUUUGGUGACGGUAGGUUGAGAAGAAGCACCGGCUAACUACGUG
rnacentral:rRNA from 1 species